AUUGUAGUGCUGGUGGAUUCAAUGAAGAUGAGAUUGCGGAUGUAUGGUCCUGUGGUGUGACAUUUACAAUGCUAUUAAAUGCUCUUGAGGAGAUGAAAAAGGUUGGCUUUUGGAUAUGCUCAUGAAGAUGACUUCAGUUUGACACAAAUUGCUGCUUUAGUCUAUGUUUUUGUUUGGAAAGAGUACUUUAUUUUUUUGGAUGCGUAAUGGCUGUUACUAGUUGAACUGAUGUGAAUUUAGUACUCUAUUGUUUGGAUGGAUAAUGGCUGUUAGUACUUGAACUAAUGUGGGCUUUGGAACCCAUUUUGGUUAAUGUGUGUUGUGAUGAAUUUAGAGA